rnacentral:rRNA from 1 species
AUUGAACGCUGGCGGCAGGCCUAACACAUGCAAGUCGAGCGGAUGAAGGGAGCUUGCUCCUGGAUUCAGCGGCGGACGGGUGAGUAAUGCCUAGGAAUCUGCCUGGUAGUGGGGGAUAACGUCCGGAAACGGGCGCUAAUACCGCAUACGUCCUGAGGGUGAACGUGGGGGAUCUUCGGACCUCACGCUAUCAGAUGAGCCUAGGUCGGAUUAGCUAGUUGGUGGGGUAAAGGCCUACCAAGGCGACGAUCCGUAACUGGUCUGAGAGGAUGAUCAGUCACACUGGAACUGAGACACGGUCCAGACUCCUACGGGAGGCAGCAGUGGGGAAUAUUGGACAAUGGGCGAAAGCCUGAUCCAGCCAUGCCGCGUGUGUGAAGAAGGUCUUCGGAUUGUAAAGCACUUUAAGUUGGGAGGAAGGGCAGUAAGUUAAUACCUUGCUGUUUUGACGUUACCAACAGAAUAAGCACCGGCUAACUUCGUG